rnacentral:rRNA from 1 species
UGAGCAACCUGCCCUUAGCUCUGGGAUAAACCCCGGGAAACCGGGGCUAAUACCGGAUACGAGUCCGAGCGGCAUCACACGGACUGGAAAGUUUUUCGGCUAAGGAUGGGCUCGCGGCCUAUCAGCUUGUUGGUGGGGUAAUGGCCCACCAAGGCGACGACGGGUAGCCGGCCUGAGAGGGCGACCGGCCACACUGGGACUGAGACACGGCCCAGACUCCUACGGGAGGCA